CAGCAGCCGCGGGAAUACGUAGGGUGCAAGCGUUAAUCGGAAUUACUGGGCGUAAAGCGUGCGCAGGCGGUUGUGUAAGACAGGUGUGAAAUCCCCGGGCUUAACCUGGGAAUUGCAUUUGUGACUGCACGACUAGAGUGUGUCAGAGGGGGGUGGAAUUCCACGUGUAGCAGUGAAAUGCGUAGAUAUGUGGAGGGACACCAAUGGCGAAGGCAGCCCCCUGGGAUAACACUGACGCUCAUGCACGAAAGCGUGGGGAGCAAACAGGAUUAGAUACCCCUGUAGUCCCUGUCUCUUAUAC
rnacentral:rRNA from 1 species